CGCAGUCCGCGCUCUCAUCUGUAUUUCCGCCCGCGCGAAAUGAGUGUAGAUUCCUGGUCUUGCAGCUGCGGUCCUUUGCUGUCCCGCGCCAUCGCGCGCCAUCGCACGCCAUCGCAAGCCACCGCACGCCAUCUCUAGAAAUCUGCAGACAUCCUGAUUUUUCCCGCGCUGUCUGCCACGUCUCCGCCGCCGCUCGACGCCAGGACGCCGGGAGUGUCACACAACUGCUGCCCCAUGCAUGUGAGAGAUGUCCUCUGGGACAGCAUGGAUCCUGAGGUUCCAGGAUUGUCAGCUGACCUCUGUCCUGUGUGCCCAGCGGCCCCAGCGGCCCCAGGUGACGUGUCUUCAAGAAGAGGCUGAACUGUGGUGCUUGUAAGAUGGGCCUGCUGUGUGCAGAGGCUCCGUGGGAUGUGUUGUCUUCAUAGCAGCAGGGCGCUGGACCAUGGGUCCCUGAGGUCUCAGCCGUAGAUCCAAGGAUGCUCCAAGGAAGUCCUAAGACCCUGGAGUUCUGGGUUUGCUCAUAUUUCCCACCAUGAAUCUCUUGGUGGUGUUUGUGGACACCAGAGGGACAGAGACUAGCGAGACCACCACAUAAAGCAUUUCCAGAGCUGCUCCCUGCUGCCUGCUCAGAGCACCCUGGAUCCACUAUUCACUUUGCACAAGAUUCGGGAUCCAGACAUGGAAGACUUCAGCUGCCUCGGAGGACUGUGGACAGGGAAGGCCAGCCCUGCAUCCCCCUGUCCAUGCCUGGAAUGACUUUAAUAACCAAGAGUUUUACUCUUGAAUUUGUAGCUGUCGUUCACUUUUUAUCCACUUAUUCAAUAAACCUUACAGAAUUGCU